ensembl:miRNA xtr-mir-29d xtr-mir-29d
UCAGGAGGCUGGUUUCAUGUGGUGGUUUAGAUUUAACUGCACAAUGUCUAGCACCAUAUGAAAUCAGUGUCCUUA